GCCUUAACAUGCAGUCGAACGGCAGCACGGGAGCUUGCUCCUGGUGGCGAGUGGCGAACGGGUGAGUAAUGCAUCGGAACGUGCCCUGAAGUGGGGGAUAACGCAGCGAAAGUUGCGCUAAUACCGCAUAUUCUGUGAGCAGGAAAGCAGGGGAUCGCAAGACCUUGCGCUUUAGGAGCGGCCGAUGUCGGAUUAGCUAGUUGGUGGGGUAAAGGCUCACCAAGGCGACGAUCCGUAGCGGGUCUGAGAGGAUGAUCCGCCACACUGGGACUGAGACACGGCCCAGACUCCUACGGGAGGCAGCAGUGGGGAAUUUUGGACAAUGGGCGCAAGCCUGAUCCAGCCAUGCCGCGUGAGUGAAGAAGGCCUUCGGGUUGUAAAGCUCUUUCGGCGGGGAAGAAAUCGCAUUCUCUAAUACAGGAUGUGGAUGACGGUACCCGAAUAAGAAGCACCGGCUAACUACGUGCCAGCAGCCGCGGUAAUACGUAGGGUGCGAGCGUUAAUCGGAAUUACUGGGCGUAAAGCGUGCGCAGGCGGUUUCGUAAGACAGACGUGAAAUCCCCGGGCUCGACCUGGGAACUGCGUUUGUGACUGCGAGGCUAGAGUUUGGCAGAGGGGGGUGGAAUUCCACGUGUAGCAGUGAAAUGCGUAGAGAUGUGGAGGAACACCGAUGGCGAAGGCAGCCCCCUGGGCCAAUACUGACGCUCAUGCACGAAAGCGUGGGGAGCAAACAGGAUUAGAUACCCUGGUAGUCCACGCCCUAAACGAUGUCAACUAGGUGUUGGGAGGGUUAAACCUCUUAGUGCCGUAGCUAACGCGUGAAGUUGACCGCCUGGGGAGUACGGCCGCAAGGCUAAAACUCAAAGGAAUUGACGGGACCCGCACAAGCGGUGGAUGAUGUGGAUUAAUUCGAUGCAACGCGAAAACCUUACCUACCCUUGACAUGUCAGAAUCCCGGGAGAGAUUUGGGAGUGCCCGAAAGGGAGCCUGACCACAGGUGCUGCAUGGCUGUCGUCAGCUCGUGUCGUGAGAUG
rnacentral:rRNA from 1 species